rnacentral:rRNA from 1 species
AACGAACGUUAGCGGCGCGCUUAACACAUGCAAGUCGAGCGAGAAAGGGGCUUCGGUCCCGGUAAAGCGGCGCACGGGUGAGGGAACACGUAGGUAAUUUUGCCCCCAGGUCGGUGGAGUAACCUUCCGAAAGGAAGGGCGUAAUACAGCAUAAGACCACGUCUCCGAAAGGAGAUGAGGUCAAAGUCGGCCUCUUCAUGAAAGCUGACGCCAGGGGA